rnacentral:lncRNA from 1 species
AACUAUAGUUGAUUUUGGCCAAGCAUACAAAAAGGGAAAAAAAAAAUCUCGUUCUAUAAAGUACCUUAGAAAAGGAGAGUCGGGUCAUCAUGCACGUCAUAUAAAGAGAAAAAUAUGAAAUAAUGGAUAAAAAAAAGCUUACAUAAAUGAAGAAAGUAAAACUGAAUCGAAUAAUUAAUUAGUUAUAAAAUGAAAUGUAAUAAUAGAAACUCAUGUACAGAAUGUUCACCGCUUUCUUUUCACCCAAAAAAUUUCCCCUCCCUCAUUCCAAGCCAAGGUAAGUUAUUCUCAAAACAAGUUAAAACCGAAGCAAGUUCAUCGUAAGGAAACUUCAAUAUAAAUCAAGUUCAUCCAGAGGAAAAUUCAUCCCCAGAAUACAUAUAUUUGGAAUGUAAUGCUCUCCAUUAAAGGUGGGAUAUCCGUGAUGAUACAUAUAAGUUAAUUGUAUGAGAGGGGACAAUGAAAAGUGUUAAUGAUAUUGACUUUUAUUAGCACUAUUUCGAGAUCCCUCUAUAUUGCCUGAUUUGAUGGACACAUAUCACUAGUUAUCGACCCAACUUUAAAACCAAUUUGUUGAAACUGAAGUGAUAAUUUUCUUAAGUAUGGUAAAACUUUCUACACGUUGAAUAAGUUUCGGGUAAAAUGGAAUGCUACGACCUUCUACCAACUAGUUUGAAUACCUUUCAACAUGAAGCACAAAGCAUGAAUUGCAAGAACAUCAUUUUCAUGGAUAUCCUUUUAUAGAUUGCCCAUCAAAUACAAAGCCAGACUUGAUGGCAUUUCAUCGAAUGCUAAAGAACAAUGGCGUUCAUUAGGAGGGAAACUUCGAAUUUUCACCUAAAAAUAUAAAGAGACUCUUUACUAAAUAUAUUAUAUAUUAAAUUUAAUAAUAAAUUUAAUUUAAGUAGGGAUUCGUAUAUGUUGUACUACAAGCAAUUUGCAGCUGCAAUGCUUAUUUUAUGGUGUAAGCAUACCAGGUGGCAAUAUUUUUCGUUUUACUGUAUAGAAAACGUUGAUGGUCAUCAUUAAAUAUAUGAUGAAUUGCCUCAUUCAUAUUUAUAAUAUAUAUGUAUGUAUACCUAUGACAAAAAAAAAUACAA